rnacentral:rRNA from 1 species
ACGGGUGAGUAAUACAUCGGAACGUGCCCUGUAGUGGGGGAUAACUAGUCGAAAGAUUAGCUAAUACCGCAUACGACCUGAGGGUGAAAGUGGGGGACCGCAAGGCCUCAUGCUAUAGGAGCGGCCGAUGUCUGAUUAGCUAGUUGGUGGGGUAAAGGCCCACCAAGGCGACGAUCAGUAGCUGGUCUGAGAGGACGAUCAGCCACACUGGGACUGAGACACGGCCCAGACUCCUACGGGAGGCAGCAGUGGGGAAUUUUGGACAAUGGGGGCAACCCUGAUCCAGCAAUGCCGCGUGUGUGAAGAAGGCCUUCGGGUUGUAAAGCACUUUUGUCCGGAAAGAAAUCGCACUUACUAAUAUUAGGUGUGGAUGACGGUACCGGAAGAAUAAGGACCGGCUAACUACGUGCCAGCAGCCGCGGUAAUACGUUGGGUCCAAGCGUUAAUCGGAAUUACUGGGCGUAAAGCGUGCGCAGGCGGUUGUGCAAGACCGAUGUGAAAUCCCCGGGCUUAACCUGGGAAUUGCAUUGGUGACUGCACGGCUAGAGUGUGUCAGAGGGGGGUAGAAUUCCACGU